UUUUCUGAUCCCUGUCCUUUUCUUCCACCCCUUCCUCCUUUUCAAUCCCAAUUCUCUUCUUCCAACCUUUUCUUCCCAACCCUUUCCUCCUCUUCCAUUCCUCUUUCUCCUCCUCUGAUCCCCAUCCUUUUCUUCCACUUUUUCAGCCUCCACUCACUUCUUCCAACCUUUUCUUCCAACCCUUUCUUCUUCCACUUCUCUUUCUCCUUUCCUGAUCCCUAUCCUUUUUUCCAACCCCUUCCUCUUUUUGAACCCCCAUUCACUUCUUCCAACUUUUUCCUCCCAUCCCUUCCUCCUCUUCUACCUGAGAGCCCACCUGGGAUGGGAGAGGAGCUUUUUCCAACCUUUUCUUCCCAUCCCUUCCUGCUCUUCCAUUUAUCUUCCUCCUUUUCUGAUCCCUGUCCUUUUCUUCCUCUUUUCCAACCCCCAUUCACUUCUUCCAACCUUUUUUUCCCAUCCCUUCCUCCUCUUGCAUUUCUUUUUCUCCUUUACUGAUCCCUGUCCUUUUCUUCCCAUCCCUUCCUCUUCUUCCAUUUCUCUUUCUCCUUUUCUUCCCACGCCUUCCUCCUUUUCAUUCCCAAUUCUCUUCUUCCAUCCUUUUCUUCUCAUCCCUUCCUAUUUUUCAACCCCCAUUCACUUCUUCCAACCUUUUCUUCCCAACCCUUUCCUCCUCUUCCAUUCCUCUUUCUCCUCCUCUGAUCCCCAUCCUUUUCUUCCACUUUUUCAACCUCCAUUCACUUCUCCCAACCUUUUCUUCCAACCUUUUCCUCCUCUUCCACCUGAGAUCCCACCUGGAUGCUGCAGAUCUGGGGUUCUGAGCCCAGGAGGAGCUGCUGGAGUGGGGCUGGGACAGCUCUGGGAUCAGGCUGGGGAUGUCCAGGCUGGAGAGGAGAAGGAUCCAGGGACACCUCAGAGCCCNCCUUUUCAAUCCCAAUUCUCUUCUUCCAACCUUUUCUUCCCAACCCUUUCCUCCUCUUCCAUUUCUCUUUCUCCUUUUCUUCCCAUCCCUUCCUGCUCUUCCAUUCCUCUUUCUCCUCCUCUGAUCCCCAUCCUUUUCUUCCUCUUUUCCAACCCCCAUUCACUUCUCCCAACCUUUUCUUCCAACUUUUUCCUCCUCUUCCAUUUCUCUUUCUCCUUUUCUUCCCACCCCUUCCUCCUUUUCAUUCCCAAUUCUCUUCUUCCAUCCUUCUCAUCCCUUCCUGUUUUUCAAUCCCAAUUCUCUUCUUCCAACCUUUUCUUCCCAACCCUUUCCUCCUCUUCCAUUUCUCUUUCUCCUCCUCUGAUCCCCAUCCUUUUCUUCCUCUUUCCAACCCCCAUUCACUUCUUCCAACCUUUUCUUCCAACCUUUUCUUCCAACCUUUUCCUCCUCUUCCAUUUCUCUUUCUCCUUUUCUGAUCCCUGUCCUUUUCUUCCCAUCCCUUCCUGCUCUUCCAUUUCUCUUUCUCCUCCUCUGAUCCCCAUCCUUUUCUUCCUCUUUUCCAACCCCCAUUCACUUCUUCCAACCUUUUCUUCCAACCUUUUCUUCCUCUUCCAUUUCUCUUUCUCCUUUUCUUCCCACCCCUUCCUCUUUCCCAACUCCCAUUCACUUCUUGCAACCUUUUCUUCCAACCUUUUCUUCCCAUCCCUUUGUCCUCUUCCAUUUCUCUUCCUCCUUUUCUGAUCCCUGUCCUUUUCUUC
ensembl:lncRNA